rnacentral:rRNA from 1 species
GACGAACGCUGGCGGCGUGCUUAACACAUGCAAGUCGAACGGAAAGGCCCUGCUUUUGUGGGGUGCUCGAGUGGCGAACGGGUGAGUAACACGUGAGUAACCUGCCCUUGACUUUGGGAUAACUUCAGGAAACUGGGGCUAAUACCGGAUAGGAGCCCCUGCUGCAUGGUGGGGGUUGGAAAGUUUCGGCGGUUGGGGAUGGACUCGCGGCUUAUCAGCUUGUUGGUGGGGUAGUGGCUUACCAAGGCUUUGACGGGUAGCCGGCCUGAGAGGGUGACCGGCCACAUGGGGACUGAGAUACGGCCCAGACUCCUACGGGAGGCAGCAGUGGGGAAUAUUGCACAAUGGGCGGAAGCGUGAUGCAGCAACGCCGCGUGCGGGAUGACGGCCUUCGGGUUGUAAACCGCUUUCGACUGUGACGAAGCGUGAGUGACGGAAAUGGGGAAAGAAGCACCGGCUAACUACGU